CUGCAGCUCAAGUGGUGAUCAUUAUUAUUGGGCCUAAAACGUCCGUAGCCUGUUUAGUAAAUGCCUGGGUAAAUCGUGUAGCUUAACUAUACGAAUUCCGGGUAGACUGCUAAACUUGAGACCGGGAGAGGCUAGAGGUACUCCUGGGGUAGAGGUGAAAUUCUGUAAUCCUAGGGGGACCACUAGUGGCGAAGGCGUCUAGCUAGAACGGGUCUGACGGUGAGGGACGAAGCCCUGGGGCACAAACCGGAUUAGAUACCCGAGUAGUCC
rnacentral:rRNA from 1 species